UACGGGGGGGGCAAGCGUUGUUCGGAAUUACUGGGCGUAAAGGGCUCGUAGGCGGCCAACUAAGUCGGACGUGAAAUCCCCAGGCUCAACCUGGGAACUGCGUCCGAUACUGGAUGGCUUGAAUCCGGGAGAGGGAUGUGGAAUUCCAGGUGUAGCGGUGAAAUGCGUAGAUAUCUGGAGGAACACCGGUGGCGAAGGCGGCAUCCUGGACCGGUAUUGACGCUGAGGCGCGAAAGCCAGGGGAGCAAACGGG
rnacentral:rRNA from 1 species